rnacentral:tRNA from 1 species
GGCCAGGUAGCUCAGUUGGUAGAGCAGGGGACUGAAAAUCCCCGUGUCGGGGGUUCGAUUCCCUCCCUGGCCAC